GCAGUCGGCCGGACGACCGCUGCGCGCGCGCCGCCGCGGCGCUGCGCGGGGAGGAAAGUCCGAACUCCGCAGGGCAGUGCGCCGGGUAACGCCCGGUCAGGGUGACCUGAAGGAAAGUGGCACAGAAAAUACACCGCCCGCCGUGUCCUUCGGGGCGUGACGGGUAAGGGUGAAAAGGUGCGGUAAGAGCGCACCGCGCCGGCCGCAAGGUCGGUGGCAGGCCAAACCCCGCACGGAGCAAGACCAAAUAGGGAGGCGCCAGCAGGACGGCCCGUCCGAGGCCUCCGGGUAGGUCGCUCGAUCCCGCCAGCGAUGGCGGGGCUAGAGGAAUGGUCGUCGCCGGGCCUCGCGCCCGGUACAGAAUUCGGCUUACGGCCGGCCUGCGGCG
rnacentral:RNase_P_RNA from 1 species